GUUUUGGUGGCCAAGUACUUAAGGCAUCGGUCUUGUAAACCGAAAAUCGGAGGUG
rnacentral:tRNA from 1 species